UACAGAGGGUGCGAGCGUUAUCCGGAUUCACUGGGUUUAAAGGGUGCGUAGGCGGGCAGGUAAGUCCGUGGUGAAAUCUCUGAGCUUAACUCAGAAACUGCCAUGGAUACUAUUUGUCUUGAAUAUUGUGGAGGUAAGCGGAAUAUGUCAUGUAGCGGUGAAAUGCUUAGAUAUGACAUAGAACACCAAUUGCGAAGGCAGCUUACUACACAGUAAUUGACGCUGAGGCACGAAAGCGUGGGGAUCAAACAGG
rnacentral:rRNA from 1 species